AGGUUUGCGCAGUGGCAGUAUCGUAGCCAAUGAGGUUUAUCCGAGGUGCGAUUAUUGCUAAUUGAAAACUAAACCUCUCUUUCUUCAAAACAUAAUGGUAACACAUUAAAAGGAAAUUUUAUAAAAUUUCAAUUCAU
ensembl:snRNA U4 U4 spliceosomal RNA